GUGCCAGCAGCCGCGGUAAGACGAGCUCUCCAAACGUUAUUCGGUAUCACUGGGCUUAAAGAGUUCGUAGGCGGCUUUGUAGGUGGGGUGUGAAAGCCCUCGGCUCAACCGAGGAAUUGCGCCCCAAACCGCAGGGCUUGAGGGAUAUAGGGGUAAGCGGAACAGAUGGUGGAGCGGUGAAAUGCAUUGAUAUCAUCUGGAACACCGGUGGCGAAAGCGGCUUACUGGAUAUUUUCUGACGCUGAGGAACGAAAGCUAGGGUAGCGAACGGGAUUAGAUACCCCCGUAGUCC
rnacentral:rRNA from 1 species